AGUGAACGCUGGCGGUAGGCCUAACACAUGCAAGUCGAACGGCAGCACAGGAGAGCUUGCUCUCUGGGUGGCGAGUGGCGGACGGGUGAGGAAUACAUCGGAAUCUACUUUUUCGUGGGGGAUAACGUAGGGAAACUUACGCUAAUACCGCAUACGACCUACGGGUGAAAGCGGGGGACCUUCGGGCCUUGCGCGAUUGAAUGAGCCGAUGUCGGAUUAGCUAGUUGGCGGGGUAAAGGCCAACCAAGGCGACGAUCCGUAGCUGGUCUGAGAGGAUGAUCAGCCACACUGGAGCUGAGACACGGUCCAGACUCCUACGGGAGGCAGCAGUGGGGAAUAUUGGACAAUGGGCGCAAGCCUGAUCCAGCCAUACCGCGUGGGUGAAGAAGGCCUUCGGGUUGUAAAGCCCUUUUGUUGGGAAAGAAAUCCAGCUGGCUAAUACCCGGUUGGGAUGACGGUACUCAAAGAAUAAGCACCGGCUAACUUCGUGCCAGCAGCCGCCGUAA
rnacentral:rRNA from 1 species